rnacentral:rRNA from 1 species
CCCUUAGAUGUUCUGGGCCGCACGCGCGCUACACUGACGGAGUCAACGAGUUGUCCUGCAUCGGAAGGUGUGGGUAAUCUUUUGAAACUUCGUCGUGCUGGGGAUAGAUCUUUGCAAUUUUCGAUCUUGAGCGAGGAAUUCCUAGUAAGCGUGAUUCAUCAGAUCGCGUUGAUUACGUCCCUGCCCUUUGUACACACCGCCCGUCGCUACUACCGAUUGAAUGGUUUAGUGAGGCCUCGGGACUGGCGCGCUCGAGUAGCAAUACACCUGCGCGCCGGGAACUUGGUCAAACUUGAUCAUUUAGAGGAAGUAAAAGUCGUAACA